AUUGAACGCUGGCGGCAGGCCUAACACAUGCAAGUCGAACGGAAACAGGAAGCUUCUUGCUGGUUUGCGGGCGGGUGGCGGGCGGGAGACCUAUGAAUGGGCAUCUGACUGAUGGAGGAGGACAGCAAACGGACGCGGUUACUACUAACGUAUAGCGGCGGAAGCCCAGAGAGGGUGGGACUCCGGCCUCUCACCUGAGCCUAGGUCCGGUUAGCUAGUUGGUGGGGUAAGGGCAUACCUAGGCGACGAUCCGUAGCUGGUCUGAGAGGAAGAUCAGUCACACUGGAACUGAGACACGGUCCAGACUCCUACGGGAGGCAGCAGUGGGGAAUAUUGGACAAUGGGCGCAAGCCUGAUGCAGCCAUGCCGCGUGUGUGAAGAAGGCCUUCGGAUUGUAAAGUACUUUCAGCGGGGAGGAAGGGAAGUAAGUUAAUACCUUGCCGCAUUGACGUUACCCGCAGAAGAAGCACCGGCUAACUCCGUG
rnacentral:rRNA from 1 species